CCCUGACAAACACACAACGUGUUUGACACUAGCCACGACAGGAGAAUCAUAUG
rnacentral:sRNA from 12 species